rnacentral:rRNA from 1 species
CGCGUAGGCGGGAUGGUAAGUCGGUCGUGAAAUCCCUCGGCUCAACCGAGGAACGUCGAUCGAUACUACUGUCCUUGAGGGUUGCAGAGGAGACUGGAAUUCCCGGUGUAGCGGUGAAAUGUGUAGAGAUCGGGAGGAACACCGGUGGCGAAGGCGGGUCUCUGGGCAAUUCCUGACGCUGAGGCGCGAAAGCGUGGGAGCAAACG